UGGUAAGGAAGAAGUAAAACAUUCAAUAUUUGCAGAUGACAUGAUACUAUAUAUAGAAAACCCUAAAGACUCUACCAAAAAGCUAUUAGAACUGACAGAUGAAUUUGAUAAAGUUACAGAAUAUAAAAUUAAUAUCCAGAAAUCUGUUGUUUCUAUCCACAAAUAACAAGGAACCAGAAAGAGAAAUUAAGACACCAACGCCAUUUACAAUUGC